rnacentral:lncRNA from 1 species
UCUGACAUAUCAUCAAAGAAGAGGAAAGACUUCUAAUGAGUCAUCUGGAUGUUGCUGGCAGAGGUGAGACAUCAAGAGGUUCAAGAGGUCUUCAUACGAUCCCUGGUUUUUCCAUCUACCAAGGAUGGAUAAGGCUGAGGAUAUAAUUAAGCAAUAGAAACAGCAAAACUAGAGAUGGUACUCUGCAAACAUGUUCCAUGAGGAGACAGGUAAUUACAUUUUUAUCAAGUGCACCUCUUGCCUUUUUUAAAUGAGUGUGUUUAUCCUCCUCUAAAAUGUUUUACCUUAUCUACUGUUUCCCUGCAAGAACGGCAAAUAGUG